rnacentral:lncRNA from 1 species
GUUAUUUUUCAGCAUCAGAAGAGCCUGAUAGUUGAACUGGAGCGGGCCCCGUCCCCUCCCCCAUACCCACUUCAAACAAAAGAGCUCCUCCGAGAAUAUUUUUUAGGGGGAGAGUGCUUCUGAAUGUGGACCCGUAGUUCUCCCCGCCCCCCGUUCCUAGGAAGGACAAGGGUUUUAUAUGUGUGUUUAAAACAAAGGGGAAUCUUGGCGCGAGUUGCCGGGAAAGGGGCGCUUUUAUUUCGGAGUUCUUGAAGAAUUCACAUUCUUUUCUCCCAAGUUUGCUGCAGCUGAGCCAGAAGUGUCCCCACUGGCUUACCCGAUAGUGAGAUGUUACACGGUGUCGGCUGAGUGUGGCUUUGUGAGAAGAUCGUUUCAGAAGAGGAAACGAGCCUCUGGCUGGUGGGGUAGAAACCCCUGUGGAAUGAAAAGUACUCCCAAGUCUCUUUGCGGAAGAUUGCAAAGUAAGUUUGGGUGAGGAAGAAUGUGACUUUCCGAGUCGGGUAGAGCACGGAUCCCACGAUGGAGAGAAGGUCCCGGCGGGGGGAAGGCCCCUCUUUCUAGGACAAAGCGAUCCUUAAUUGUGGCCAGAGUCCCGGGCGAAUUCGCUGCGCGCGUCUGUCUGCCCGCGCGGCGCUUGGUGGGUAGUCCCGCUUCCACCAAAACUCUGUAUUUCGUUUCUCUCAAAAUAAAACUCAACAAGCCAUAAAGCUUCCGACGCCGGUGGAGAAGGCGCCGCGGAUUUAUGGCCCCCGAAUUCCCCACUCUCUAAUUAUCCUUGUGUUUACUUGACUUAUGGGUAGUGACCAAUAAAAUCAUUUUCCAUUUUGG